GAAUUGGGCCUCCCUACCUUGAUCGAGGUCACCUGAGAAAAAAGGUUGGAGACGCCGGCUGGCGCCCGGCCGGUCCUUAUCGAGCGGGUGACAAAGCCCCAUACGCUCGAGGACCGGACGCGGUGCCGCCGCUGCCUUUCGGGCCCGUCCCCCGGAGGGGACGACGACCCAACACACAAGCCGGGCUUGAAGGGCAGCAAUGACGCUCGGACAGGCAUGCCCCCCGGAAUGCCAGGGGGCGCAAUGUGCGUUCAAAGACUCGAUGAUUCACUGAAUUCUGCAGUUCACAUUACUUAUCGCAGUUCGCUGCGUUCUUCAUCGAUGCCGGAACCAAGAUAUCCAUUGGUGAAAGUUUUGACUGAUUUAUAUUUCAGGCUCAGACACAACUCUACAAUCAAGAAGUUCAUGGGGUCCCGGGGAUUUGUCCCCCGGAAGGGGAGGACCGGCCGGGCGCCAGGGGGAGGGUCUAACGUUUUUUACGGGGGGGACCCGGAAGCAGGGGGGAGAUCCGCUGGAACUUUGCGUAUGUUAAGCUAGAGAAAAAGGGCUGCCUCCGGGUGCCCAUCUUCUUCCCUGGUUUUCCUUAUCUUGUUUGUUUCGUCUAUUAACCCUUUCUGUUGUC
rnacentral:misc_RNA from 1 species